rnacentral:tRNA from 1 species
GCCGGGAUGGCGAAAUUGGUAGACGCGCCAGACUUAGGAUCUGGUACCGAAAGGUGUGCAGGUUCGAGUCCUGUUCCCGGCA